rnacentral:rRNA from 1 species
UACGUAGGGGGCAAGCGUUGUCCGGAUUUAUUGGGCGUAAAGAGCGUGUAGGCGGCCAUACAGGUCCGUUGUGAAAACUGGAGGCUUAACCUCCAGACGUCGAUGGAAACCGUAUGGCUAGAGUCCGGAAGAGGAGAGUGGAAUUCCUGGUGUAGCGGUGAAAUGCGCAGAUAUCAGGAAGAACACCCGUGGCGAAGGCGGCUCUCUGGGACAGUACUGACGCUGAGACGCGAAAGCGUGGGGAGCGAACAGG